rnacentral:tRNA from 1 species
AAANUCCGUCGACUUUAGANAUCGUGAGGGUUCAAGUCCCUCUAUCCCCA